rnacentral:rRNA from 1 species
GACGAACGCUGGCGGCGUGCCUAAUACAUGCAAGUAGAACGCUGAAGGAGGAGCUUACUUCUCUGGAUGAUUUGCGAACGGGUGAGUAACGCGUAGGUAACCUGCCUGGUAGCGGGGGAUAACUAUUGGAAACGAUAGCUAAUACCGCAUAAGAGUAGAUGUUGCAUGACAUUUACUUAAAAGGUGCAAUUGCACCACUACCAGAUGGACCUGCGUUGUAUUAGCUAGUUGGUGGGGUAACGGCUUACCAACGCGACGAUACAUAGCCGACCUGUUAGGGGGAUCGGCCAGACUGGGACUGAGACACGGCCCAGACUCCUACGGGAGGCAGCAGUAGGGAAUCGUCGGCAAUGGACGGAAGUCUGACCGAGCAACGCCGCGUGAGUGAAGAAUGUUUUCGGAUAGUAAAGCUCUGUUGUAAGAGAAGAACGAGUGUGAGAGUGGAAAGUUCACACUGUGACGGUAUCUUACCAGAAAGGGACGGCUAACUACGUGCCAGCCGCCGCGGUAA